rnacentral:rRNA from 1 species
GACGAACGCUGGCGGCGUGCCUAAUACAUGCAAGUAGGACGCAGUUGCGAACGGGUGAGUAACGCGUAGGUAACUGCCUAUUAGAGGGGGAUAACUAUUGGAAACGAUAGCUAAUACCGCAUACUAGUAGAUGGACCUGCGUUGUAUUAGCUAGUAGGUAGGGUAAUGGCCUACCUAGGCAACGCUGCAUAGCCGACCUGGGGAGGUUGACGGGCCAACUGGGAAUGGGACCAGGGCCAAACUCCUACGGGAGGGCAGAGGAGGGAAUCUUCGGCAAUUGGGGGAACCCUGACCGAGCAACGCCGGGUGAGUGGAGAAGGUUUUCGGAUCGUAAAGCUCUGUUGUUAAGGAAGCGGUACUUAACCAGAAAGGGACGGCUAACUACGUGCCAGCAGCCGCGGUAAUAC